CGGGGUGUAGCGCAGCUGGUCAGCGCGCAUGGUUUGGGACCAUGAGGUCGCCGGUUCGAAUCCGGCCACCCCGACCA
rnacentral:tRNA from 1 species